rnacentral:rRNA from 1 species
AUGGGCGUCGAGGAGGAGCAAGACGUGCAGCAACCGGACGCCGGCGCCGGAAAGCCUGAUGCCGCCAAGCCACCGCCUUUGGAAAACAAUCAGCAAAAACCAAGCGACCCCCGCACGUCGACCUGCAGCACUGACAAGGACGACGGCCUCGCUCUCUGCCGGGUGUGCCACUGCGUGGAGCCUGACCUCAGAGGCGAGUCCGCUCUGGGUUUCCUAGGCAUCGUGCCGCCUUCCCCUGAUCCAUCCUGCCUGAAGACCGACAAGGACCCGGGCAACGGCGCCACCAAGACUUCCAUCAGCAAGGAUAGCGCCAAUGCUCCAACAUUUCUCGAGUUCAUAAGCCCCGAGGGGGAGAUCUUCAAGUGCGCCACCGACAUCGAAUCGGGCCCUUUGCACCCGCAAGACGACAUCGUGACCCUAGGAUGCUCCUGCAAGAACGAGCUCGCGCUCGCGCACUACGCGUGCGCGCUCAAGUGGUUCAUCAGCCACGGGUCGACCGUGUGCGAGAUAUGCAGUGAUAUCGCCACCAACGUGCGGCCCGAGGAUUUCAACACGGUGCUCGCAUCACUCAAGGACUACGAAGCUCUGAGGGAAAGGACGUCCACCGGGGACCUCUCCUACUUGCACUACAGGGCGGAGGCGUCCGUCGACCCGGCUGCCCUUGCCGCGGUACGGAGGCAGCGGCUCUGCGAGAUAUCGUCAUGGUUCAACCCUCACAAUGCACAUUUCGUGUUUUCUCAGAGUCAGAGGCACAGCAACAACGAAGAGGUGCCAGUUAGCCCGAGUAAUAACUCUGCAGACUAUAGUGUUUCGGCUUGGGGGCCAGCACACGGGGGGCCGAGUGUCGGGAGUACCGGAGCUUUCGUUGCUAUCGCCCUAGCUUUUGUUAUUCUUGCAUGGUUUGUUGCUCCACAUGUUGGCAAGAGAGCGGCUGCGAUCAUCCUUCACAUGCUUCUUGGAGGCCUAUGCUCGUUGACUAUAAUAAUCUCGCUGAGAUUUGUAAGUAAACUAGGAUGCUUAACACAUAUGGUCUUCCCGAGAAUCCAGUUUGGGUCGAUGCGAUACUGGGGGAUCCUGUUCGUGUCCUGGUUCCUCGUGUUUGGAGUGUGGGCGUCGCGAACCCGCACCAUCCGCCGCAAUUCAUGA